rnacentral:rRNA from 1 species
UACGAAGGGGGCUAGCGUUGCUCGGAAUCACUGGGCGUAAAGGGUGCGUAGGCAGGUCUUUAAGUCAGGGGUGAAAUCCUGGAGCUCAACUCCAGAACUGCCUUUGAUACUGAAGAUCUUGAGUUCGGGAGAGGUGAGUGGAACUGCGAGUGUAGAGGUGAAAUUCGUAGAUAUUCGCAAGAACACCAGUGGCGAAGGCGACUUCCUGGACAGAUACUGACACUGAGGCACGAAAGCGUGGGGAGCAAACAGG